rnacentral:rRNA from 1 species
UACGAAGGGUGCUAGCGUUGUUCGGAAUCACUGGGCGUAAAGCGCGCGUAGGCGGCUUUUCAAGUCAGGGGUGAAAUCCCAGAGCUUAACUCUGGAAUUGCCUUUGAAACUGAGAAGCUGGAGUGUCGGAGGGGAUAGCGGAAUUGCUAAUGUAGAGGUGAAAUUCGUAGAUAUUAGCAGGAACACCGGUGGCGAAGGCGGCUAUCUGGACGACAACUGACGCCGAGGCGCGAAAGCGUGGGGAUCAAACAGG